AGCAAAAGAAGUCAUCAUCCAGGUGCUGACCCCAUAUGCUGUCUCGACUGCAAUGACAAAGUAUCUAAAUACAAAUGUGAUAACCAAGACUGCUGAUGAGUUUGUCAAAGAGUCAUUGAAUUAUGUCACAAUUGGAGGUGAAACCUGUGGCUGCCUUGCCCAUGAAAUCUUGGAAUUGGAUCUCUCUCUGUCUUUCAUGGAUGGUAGAAGGAUUCAUGGCUCCAUGCGCUAAAGUCUACCAAAGCAUUCCUUUAUCUGCUGGGACUUAAAGACUCUGGCAAGAGAUAUUGAACUUUCUCAAUUACUUGCUAUUUUUAUGUAGAACCUCAACAAUGUGCAUAAUCACCAAUGUAACUCACACUACAAAGCAGACAUGCAGAGAGGAUAUAAAGUCUUUAUUUUUUCUGUUGCUGAUCUGGUCUUUUUCCAGAUCACCACUUGCUGCAGGAAAAUUCAUCGAAUGUCCAAUGAGUCUAAACUGAGUUUGAUCUAGUCAUCUCAACUGGCCAUUUAGGAA
rnacentral:lncRNA from 10 species